UGGGAACUUGAGAAACAUCCUGAAAACUCACUAUCACUGAAGGCAGGCCAACAUUUCAUCAGUUCACUCUCAGCGCAGUUUAACAGUAGCAAAAACUACUGGCAAAGUGAUGGACCAAAUUUGGCUUCAUCUGCUUUUUCUUUCAGGACUCCUGUCAUUAACUCUGUGUAAACCACAAGAGUAUAUUCUGUACAAA